rnacentral:snRNA from 1 species
AUCACUUCUUGGCCUUUUUGGCUAAGAUCAAGUGUACUAUCUGUUCUUAUCAGUUUAAUAUAUGAUACAUCCUCUAUCUGAGGACAAUAUAUUAAAUGGAAUUUUGGAGCUCAGAGUUGGAAUAGGAGCUUGCUCUGUCCACUCCACGCAUCAACCUGGUAUUGCAGUACCUCUAGGAAUGGUGCACCCCCU